rnacentral:rRNA from 1 species
GGGCCCGCACAAGCGGUGGAGUAUGUGGUUUAAUUCGAUGCAACGCGAAGAACCUUACCAGGGUUUGACAUCCUGCGAAUCUCUUGGAAACGAGAGAGUGCCUUCGGGAGCGCAGUGACAGGUGGUGCAUGGCUGUCGUCAGCUCGUGUCGUGAGAUGUUGGGUUAAGUCCCGCAACGAGCGCAACCCACGUCUUUAGUUGCCAGCAUUGAGUUGGGCACUCUAGAGAGACCGCCGGUGAUAAACCGGAGGAAGGUGUGGAUGACGUCAAGUCAUCAUGCCCCUUACAUCCUGGGCUACACACGUACUACAAUGCUACGGACAAAGGGCAGCAAACUCGCGAGAGCUAGCAAAUCCCAUAAACCGUGGCUCAGUUCAGAUCGUAGGCUGCAACUCGCCUACGUGAAGGAGGAAUCGCUAGUAAUCGCAGGUC